UGACUGCUAUCGGAUUGAUACUAAGCCAUGCGAGUCAUUGUAGCAAUACAAGGCAUACGGCUCAGUAACGCGUAGUCAACCUAACCUAUGGACGGGAAUAACCUCGGGAAACUGAGAAUAAUGCCCGAUAGAACACUAUACCUGGAAUGGUUUGUGUUCCAAAUGAUUUAUCGCCAUAGGAUGGGACUGCGGCCUAUCAGUUUGUUGGUGAGGUAAUGGCCCACCAAGACUAUUACAGGUACGGGCUCUGAGAGGAGUAGCCCGGAGAUGGGUACUGAGACACGGACCCAGGCCCUAUGGGGCGCAGCAGGCGAGAAAACUUUGCAAUGUGCGAAAGCACGACAAGGUUAAUCCGAGUGAUUUGUGCUAAACGAAUCUUUUGUUGGUCCUAGAAACACUAACGAAUAAGGGGUGGGCAAGUUCUGGUGUCAGCCGCCGCGGUAAAACCAGCACCUCAAGUGGUCAGGAUGAUUAUUGGGCCUAAAGCAUCCGUAGCCGGCUCUGUAAGUUUUCGGUUAAAUCUGUACGCUUAACGUACAGGCUGCCGGGAAUACUGCAGAACUAGGGAGUGGGAGAGGUAGACGGUACUCGGUAGGAAGUGGUAAAAUGCUUUGAUCUAUCGAUGACCACCUGUGGCGAAGGCGGUCUACCAGAACACGU
rnacentral:rRNA from 1 species